rnacentral:rRNA from 1 species
AUGAGAACAACCAAAAUGAUGCUCGAUAGAAAUGUCACCCUGCAAAGCAGAGGAAGGUUGAAUUUUGAUGAGAUAGGUGGAAGUAGGAACAACCUCAACCCAAAAGUGAGGCGGAAGAGCCGCGACGAUCAUCAAUUCACGAGCUGCCUCAAGAAAGUGAUGAUGCUUGUGCUCGUCAACACCAUUCUGAGCAUGAGCACAGCAGAGCAAGUUUGUCCUGCUCAACAAGGAAUCCACGCAACAAAUGAGAGGUACAGUUAUGAGCAGAAUCUACAUGGAAGACACAAAUAUGAGUGGAAAACUGGGUCAAGCAUGGUGGCAUGGCAGGGAAGACACAAUCAUGGGCAGUCAUGGCGGCAAACUUACGGAGGAAUCAUCUAUAAAGAUAUUAUAGUAAAGAAUGGCCUCUUUUCGAGGCAAAUGGAGUUGGAUCCCAAACAUCAGAGUGAACAAGAUCGAACGGGUGUUGAGAAACCGUCUUGCUAUGAGGAUGCAAUAACGGAACUGUUUACCAAGCAGACAACCUGGCAGUCUAAAGACCCAAUGCCGGAGACAUAUCCACGUUGA